UUAAAACGAUCAGACAGAACAAGGACGAAUUCCAGUAAGAUGUCAAGGUCCACUCCAAUUUGCCAGCACUGUUGUGAGAAUGAUCUUUGCAAUUUGCAGUGCAGUGUUACAGCACAGACUGAAACUGGAGUAGCAAUAGUUGGAUGACUAUAGCCAUGCAGAUGAUUCAACGGAUUGUCCCAAAUGACUUGUCGUAAUUCAUUGUAUUAAAAUUUCAUUGAUAUUAUCGA